UAAUGCUCUUUACUCAUCUCGAUCAGAAAAGCAGAUUCUGCAUUUCUGAAACUGCAUACUUUUUCUUAGUAUGGUUUAUAAAUUGUCUGCAAAGAAUGUCUUUACAGUGAAACUGAAUUCAUUUGUUAAAACCAAUAAAACCCAUGUUCAUAUUGCACAAUUCAUUAACCAUUAAAUGUGUUAACUUUCACAGCCCUAACAACACGAAUGUUUUGACGAACCACAUUUGGUUCAUGCAUCUAUUAUUUUUUUCAACAGUUCAAACUCUUGAAGAGAUCACGUAUAUUGAGCCAGCAUUAAAUAACAGAAAUAUGCAUACAAUGAAUGUUAAAGAAGAAGCUCAAGUAGAAUAUGCACCAAUCGUCGUGAGAAGAUAAAAAAGAAGUCAGUAAGUCCUGCGACAACCUUUACAACUACCGCUAGCAGGUUUUGGGAUUGUUGACGAUAUGCAGUAUUAGUGCUGGGCGAUAAAUCGAUAACGGUAAUAUUUUUAGCUGUACAAAAAUACUGUUGGGCAUAAAAAUGGCUUAUUGAAACAAAUGCUUAUGCAUUAUCUCUCCAUGACGUCACGUUCACACUGUUAAAUGGCAGACAAGCCGUGGUGCUAGUAUCAGAGGUGGUUUUUAGCUCCAGUUUCUGAGAAGAACUAUUCUCGACAACAUAUCUAUUUUUAUAAAGGUCAUGUUCUGCAGAAUGAUAAUGAUUCAUUGUGCCACCACUCCAUUAACACUCUAACCUGAGUCCUGUAAAAGUCCUGUAAUAACCUGUAAAUAAGUCUAUUUGAACAGCCUCCCAAGCGAAAGAUGAUUACUACUUAAGUUAGUGUACGUACCUCUGGGGUUUUUUUUGUAAACCUAAUUAAAGCGCCUAAUUAAAUGUCCAAAAUUUGACUUCAAGCCAACAAUAAAAGCUUCACAUUUGACGUGAAGGAACAUGGCAUGCGAUUCGACGCUUGUGCUGUUGAUGCGUCCACACCUUUCCUGACGUUAAAUUGGCUUUGGCCAUUUGUAAACUCUAUGGGUAUAGCUUCCGGUCUCAUCCGCAUCCGGCUAUUUUUAGCUGUAUAAAAGAAUUGGUUUUGGAGCUUGAUAUUGAAAAUUGGUGUGUUCUUUCAUGUUGUUUUAAUGCAUUAUCUUAAUUAUUAUUUGUAAUGCAAACCAUUUACUGCAGUUGAUACUGUCCUCAUUAUUUACCAAGCAUCUAAUAAACUUAUUUGUCAUUCAUGCUUUUAA